UACAGAGGGUGCAAGCGUUAAUCGGAAUUACUGGGCGUAAAGCGUGCGUAGACGGUUAUGUAAGUCGGGUGUGAAAGCCCCGGGCUCAACCUGGGAAUUGCAUUCGAGACUGUGUAGCUAGGGUACGGAAGAGGGAAGCGGAAUUUCAGGUGUAGCGGUGAAAUGCGUAGAUAUCUGAAGGAACACCAGUGGCGAAAGCGGCUUCCUGGUCCAGUACCGACGUUCAGGCACGAAAGCGUGGGAGCAAACAGG
rnacentral:rRNA from 1 species